UACGUAGGGUGCGAGCGUUUGUCCGGAAUUAUUGGGGCGUAAAGGGCUCGUAGGCGGUUUGUCGCGUCGGGAGUGAAAACCUUGGGCUUAACUCAGGGCUUGCUUUCGAUACGGGCAGACUAGAGGUAUGCAGGGGAGAACGGAAUUCCUGGUGUAGCGGUGAAAUGCGCAGAUAUCAGGAGGAACACCGGUGGCGAAGGCGGUUCUCUGGGCAUGAUCUGACGCUGAGGAGCGAAAGUGUGGGGAGCGAACAGG
rnacentral:rRNA from 1 species